CCAGGUGAGCUCAGGUGUGCCCCAAGUGUGUUCAGGUGUGCCCCAGGUGAGCUCAGAUUUGCCCAUGUGAGCUCAUGUGUGCCCCAGGUAUGCUGAGGUAAGCUCAGCUGUGCUCAGGUGUGCCCAGGUGAGCUGUCCCUGUCCCAUUCUCCAAGAGGGAAAAUCCAGGCCCUGGAAAGGCCCCGCCCCAUCCAGGUGUGCACCUGUCCCAUC